CCCACCAACUAGUCWGUYGRURGGAYGUGCCUUCGGGAACUGUGAGACAGGUGCUGCAUGGCUGUCGUCAGCUCGUGAGKGAAAUGUUGGGUUAAGUCCCGCAACGAGCGCAACCCUUAUCMUWUGUUGCCAGCGGUCCGGCCGGGAACUCAAAGGAGACUGCCAGUGAUAAACUGGAGGAAGGUGGGGAUGACGUCAAGUCAUCAUGGCCCUUACGACCAGGGCUACACACGUGCUACAAUGGCGCAUACAAAGAGAAGCGACCUCGCGAGAGCAAGCGGACCUCAUAAAGUGCGUCGUAGUCCGGAUUGGAGUCUGCAACUCGACUCCAUGAAGUCGGAAUCGCUAGUAAUCGUGGAUCARAAUGCCACGGUGAAUACGUUCCCGGGUCUUGUACACACCGAA
rnacentral:rRNA from 1 species